rnacentral:rRNA from 2 species
GCGGUGGUCCCACCUGACCCCAUGCCGAACUCAGAAGUGAAACGCCGUAGCGCCGAUGGUAGUGUGGGGUCUCCCCAUGCGAGAGUAGGGAACUGCCAGGU